CCCAGAAAGAGCUGCCAGUAGGAGGAGGGCCAGCCUCACUGGUGAUUGGAGUCCAGCAGUCCCACUGAUUGGGAGUGCUGAGCCAAGCCCAUGUCGUGCUUCGCUGAUGCAUGGCUGGGCUGAAGAAAGAGCUCUUUGAAUUUUUCAUAGAAAAGACUGGUGCCCAAAAGGCCAGGGCUCGAGAAUGAGGCUGCCUCAAGCACAGUGCUUGGCAGGACACCAGGGCUGAAAGGUACAGCAAAGUCCUCCCAGAAUCGCUUGUCAGAGCAGGGAUUUGCAUCACAGACUGGCCACUGCAAAGACAGAUGGGAACUCACAGGUUUUGUGUGUGUGUUUGUGGUUCACUGCUGAUGGACGCAUGUCAGAAGCCACCUGAGCCUUGGCCCAGCCUUCAUGUGGAGUGAAAACCCAGACCUGUGUGAGCAGCAGGUACUUGAAGCAAGAGAAGCAAGGCCGAGCCUCCAGGGCUUUGUCAGAGGCUCCUUCCUUCCUGGAAUCCAAUUGUACAACCAGGAGCCAGAGGUCUUGGUGGCCGGAUGUGGGUCUAAUCCUGGUUCCAUGGCCUCCCAACUGAGUGAAUGAGAUUAUAAUGAUAAAAUAUAAUUUACUGUGUACCCGG
rnacentral:lncRNA from 1 species